CAAGUCUGAACUUGGAUGAUUACAGGAUCUUGGUUUAAUACCUCUUAAGUUACUUUGGUUAACGGUUGUUUGUAUGCCUAAAUUUUAUUCCAUCUCCCGCUGAGCUUGUAGUGGAGUUCAGUGUAUAUGUCUGUGUUGACAUAUGUGUGAUUUUAUUUUGCCCGACAGUCCAUGAUAUCUACAUUAGAGUUGAUUUAUCAUUUUCUGUGAUUUCAACUCUGAUUUUUAGCUCAAGGAAUUCUGUUUCAAUGCUUGCAGAUAAUCAGGCUUGCGAGGAAAUUGCCAAC
rnacentral:lncRNA from 1 species